GCUUUCAGCACACAAUUACUCUCGUUCCAAUCACUAGAAUUCUUCAUACAGAACUGCCAUUCACAUUACAGUGUUUCACACAAACACAGACUCAUUCUCUUUGCUGAACUACAAUCAGAUUUCAGCAUUCAAUCUUUCUUCUUCUCAAAUAAUACCAAUCACAUUUCCAUUCCAUAAUUCACUUCACAAUAUUCAGAAACUUUCAAUCCUCUUAUUCAAAAAAAAUAACAAACAAAAGAAAAGAGGUAGCACCAAGCUUACCCCGGCUCACAACUCUCAUAGUUUGGCAUUUUCUUCCCCUCUCCCAUCCUCCUUAUACUACCUCAAGAUACCAACUCCUAUUCUACAGAUGAUAACUACUUUUCUUGACUAUUCAUCCAUUCUACCUACUGAACCACCUUUUCAGCAGCUAUCUAUCCCUGUUUACACUAUACACUAGGUAUCUACAUUCUGAAAAUAACUACUUAUUCUACAUAGCCCCACUCAUAAUUGUAUAGCGUCCUCACAAAUACUCAAUUGAUACCUAUCUAAAAAUUAUCUAAGAAAACUCUACAAAAAUUACGAUCCCUCUGGCCUAUCUAAUUAAUCAAUUGCCACAGUAUCUAUUAUUGGUUCCACCGAUUUCGGUUCCAACUGCAAAUCUUCAUCCUCCUCCAAUCCUUCUAUCGGCUCCU
rnacentral:lncRNA from 1 species